UGAUGAGAGAGAGAGAGGCACGCAAACUCCAAAUAUACAGCAGCAGCAGGCGUCAGGGUCUUGAUCGAACCCACGGCCUCCUGUACACCGGGCGAGGUCGUUAACAUCUCUCCUAGCCACCUUGCCGGCGGUUCGAGCUGCACAGGUUCGUUGGUCACACACGUACACGCACGCGCACGCACGCGCGCGCGUGCGCGUGCGUGCGUGCGGUCGCCAGAUUCGCGCUUGGGGUCCGACCGCGAAGCGUUUGGAAGUGGGAGUCGUGUUCACGCACAGGAAAUAUAAUAUAUAUAACUAUAAGUGGCGAGGGUGUGAAAGCGGCCUUCCGUCUGACCGCGACGGGUAGUAGCGAGAGUAAAGUUACCGCCAACUUAGCCUGGCUUCGCGAAGUUUCAUUAACUUAUAAAAAAAAAACUUAAACCGCAGGUUAACCUUGACCCUAGGCGUUCGCGAUAACACGUGCCCUAAAGACGGAAAUGGAUACGGCGUAGAGUGUGGUAAGAGGAGGCUUACUAGGUGAGUUAAAAGGCCCUGUUGUCCUCGUGCUAGCAGAAGUGAUGCACAUCAGCCACCAUGAUCAGCUUGAGCUGUCGACUGCAGGUUCACUGCAGCUCAGCAGACAAGCCACGGUGUGAGCUCAGGGAUAAUAAAGGCCUUUUACCCCACGUAUCCAACCGUGCUAACCGGGAGGUGCUAAACACAAAAAAAGCAGUUCUAAAGAAAUGAGUUUUCAAUCGAGAUGAUUUAAAAGCGCAUUGCUCCAGCGGCUCCCAAAAUGUCGGAAGGAAGAGCGUUCCAGACGGCCGCAGGAGCGCGUCUGCGUUCGAUGGCCCAGCCAGAAGCCGCCGUCUGCGAGGAUGAGCGGAGUUCGCGCGAUGGUUUCUGCUCCUCUUAGCUCACCGCGCUCUAGGAGGGCAUGUAAACAUCCUAGGAGGGCACGUUUCGGGCAAUUGCCCUUCGUCCUAGCAGAGAGAGAGAGAGAAAAGGGGCAAGAGAGAUGAAAUUUACCUCGAAAAGAAAGCAUUCCCCCUGCAACGAACGACCGGCCCGGUGCAAGUGGUUAUCGACGAACGAGAUUUCGUUGCUUGUGCGCCCGCUGCCAACUGCCAGUGUCGCGAACCUCGUUGUUAUCAUCAUGAUGAUGAUCGUCGUCGUCGUCGUCAUUCGGCUCAACCUCGAUCGGGCCCGUCUUCGUCCAUCCGGACGACGCUAAAGCUCGACCGAGCUCAGAGCGCACCGACGCCGCACGCGGUGUUAUUUAUCGGUGUGGUGGGGUUACGCGCGACCCAAAGUCUACCGAGAGGUGACAGCUUUAACGCCGUAGGCUGCUAAACGAGUGACAUUACAAUAGAUUCAAAACGUAUAACGGGCAGGGAGAAAGAUACACAUCGUAUAUGGGUGGGCCUGGCUGUGUUUCUUAGUGGCAAAUAAAUCCACAGCCUUGCAAGA